AACGCAUAUGGCACCCGAGACCUCGGUCGAGGGUAUGUCUGCCUCAGAGUCGGCGUAAAAACACUCCCCUGCGGUACUUUGUGCCGCGGGGGGAACUGACCUCUCCCGCGCCGCUGGCGCGGGUGGGUCGAAGGAUAGAGACGGGCGCGCCCGGUCGGAACAGUUUCCGGCUGGACCGAGAUUUUGCUGGAGAAGAAGUAACAUUCUUUUAUCUUUCGGUCUCGGUACCCCGGAAGCGACGCCGCGGACGCCCGCAGUGCAGGAUUACGUGGAUCCGUUUACUUUUGGAUCCCUUUGCAUCCGACCUGAGUUCAGGCAAGAUCACCCGCUGAACUUAA
rnacentral:misc_RNA from 1 species